GCGAGCUCCGACGUGCAGCGGGGUCUGGCGCCGGCCCCUCCUCAUCACGCGCCCGGCCCAGGGUCGCUCAGCCGCCGCCACCGCCGCCGCCCCUUGGGUCGAUGGAGUCGGCGCGGAAGGCCCGCGCGCCCUGCGCCGCCGCCGCUCAGUGCCGCCGCCAGCACCUCCUCCGCCCCUCCGCCUCCCGGGCUCAUCCCGCGGGGGCGGCGUCACCUCCUCGCUGCCCAGGCCCGGGCACCGCGGGCGCCCCGCGGGCGGCAGCCGCCCCUCCCGAGCGCGAUCUCCAGGCUGGGUCCGGGGCCGGGCGGGGAGGGAGGAGAGACUGAGCGUGAAGGGAGAGGGCGCCCGAGUUUUCGGGGACGGAAGUGUGGAGAAUAGGAGCGUGUGAGGGGGCGCCCGAGGUGUCGGGGGCGGGGGAAGAGUAUGAGCAGGGGUGGGGGCAGGGGUGCCAGGUGUAGCAGGUAGGGAGGUAGAGGCGGCGAGUGGGGGCGCCCGAGGGACCGGGGCGGGGCGGGGAGCGUAAGGGUGGCAAGGCGCCCGAGAGUCAGGGCUGGAGCUGAAGAGUUCAACAAUUUUUAUGAAUUUCUAAUCCAACCUCAUCAUCCUAUGGGAAACAGAAGACCACCAAGAACAGCCAGCUGAGACAGAAUUUCACUGUGUUGCCCAAGCCAAUCUUAAACUCCUGGUCUCAAGCGAUCCUCCUGCCUUGGCCUCCCACUGUGCCUGGCCUAUGGACUCUGAAUUUUUUUAAAAGACUGGAAAAAACUUUUAUAAGAGAAUUGGAAAUUUGGACAAUGGAAUCUCAUUCUGUCACCAGGCUGAAGUGCAGUGACGUGAUCUUGGCUCACUGCAACCUCCACCUCCUGGGUUCAAGCGAUUCUCCUGCCUCAGCCUCCUGAGUAGCUGGGAUUACAGGUAUCUUGGCAGUAACCUCCUCCAUAUAUUUCCUUGGCCCUCAGCUUACAUCUAGCAAAAUGACUCUACUGGUUCCAGGCUUCACAUGCAUACAACAUGGUGUUGGAGGAACAGAGAUGUUUUCUCUUCCUGGUGUUUUCCCAGACAUUUCUUAGCUGGCAUUUCAAACAAGGGUCCUGAAAUUCACCCUGGUUGGGUCGUGUUCUCCCCUUCCCAUUCCCCAUCCCCACCCUCAACCGAAAAAUGAUGUAAGCAGGGGAAAUUGAAUGUACCAAUGUUUGUUUUUAAACAAGCCACAGACCCCUCCCCAACUCCCCGACUGAAGCUUGAAGUGGGAUCAGCUUUCCCUAAAGUACUUGAGCUUAUGGUAAAGCAUAUAUGUUAUCCAAGUUAAAGUCUGGACGCUGUUAGUAAUGGGAAGGCAAGUAAUGAAUGUUAGCUAUGGAGCCAACAGACAGUGUCCACUCCAUUGUCUUUAAGGCCCAACUAAAGAUAACCUCUUUACCAAUGUCGGUUUAUUUAUUCAUUUAUUUAUUCAUUGAGAUGGAGUCUCACUCUCUCACCCAAGCUGGAGUGCAGUGGAAUGAUCUCAGCUGACUGCAAUUUCUGCCUCCCAGGUUCAAGCAAUCUCCUGCUUCAGCCUCCCAAGUAGCUGGGAUUACAGGCGCACACCACCAUGCCCGGCUAAUUUUUGUAUUUUUAGUAGAGAUAGGGUUUCACCAUGUUGGCCAAGCUGGUCUCGGACACCUGACCUCAAGUGAUCUGCCUGCCUCGGCCCCCAAAGGUGUGAGCCACUGCACCUGGCUACAAUGUCAGUUUCUAUAAAAACUGCCUUGACUUGUUUUGUUUGCUUGUUUUGUUUGUUUGUGUUUUAAUUUUUAUUAUUUUUUUUUAGAGACAGGGUCUCAAUCUGUUGUCUAGGCUUGAGUGCAGUGGUGCAAUCAUAGCUCACUGAAGUGUUGGACUCCCAGGCUCAAGCAGUCCUCCCACCUCAGCCUCCCAAGUAGCUGAGACUACAGGCAUGCACCACCCUGUCUGGCUAAUUUUUUAUUUUUAGUAGAGAUGAGGUCUCACUAUGUUGCCCAAGGUGGCCUCAAACUCCUGGCCUCAAGUACUCCUGUGGCCUUAGCCUCCCAAAGCUCUGGGAUUGCAGGUAUGAGCCGCCAUGCCUGGCCUACUGUAUAUUUUAUGCAUUUGAUAUAAGUCUUGCCUCCCUAAGUAUAUUACAAGUCCCUUGAAGUUAAAGACAUUAGAUUCCUACUCAGUGCUGAGCUGCAACAGAGAGCACUCAAUGAUGGAUAAAAUAGUUUUAGCAUGCAUUCAGCGAUAUAUAUUUAGAAAGUGGAACUAGGUGGUUGAAAAAAGUGUAUAGAUGGGUGGAAGGGAAUAUUACAGCUCUUAGAAUUGUCCUAAGGUGAGAGUAACAAAUUAAGCAAUGAGUCCCUGGGUUCACUCAAGCAACUUCACUCUCUAAAACAAGAGCCCACAGAAUCCCAUUUCUGCUUUCAGAAUGAGUUUGAGGCCAAUAUUAUUUCCAUUUUUUUUCUUUUUCUUUCUUUCUUUUUUUUUUUUUUUUUUUUGAGACGGAGUUUCACUCUUGUUGCCCAGGCUGUUUUGAUCUCGGCUCACUGCAACCUCUGCCCCUGGGUUCAAGCGAUUCUCCUGUCUCAACCUCCCAAGCUGGGAUUACAAGCAUGCGCUACCACACCUGGCUAAUUUUGUAUUUUUAAUAGAGACGGGGUUUCUCUGUGUUGGUCAGGCUGGUCUCAAACUCCCAACCUCAGGUGAUCUGCCCACCUUGGCCCAGCCUCCAAUAUGAUUUUCUAAUAGCUGUGUUUGAUGAUUAUAUUUAUUCCUCCAUCAGUAGCUUUUUUAGCCUUGAAAAUAUCUAUUUAAGUUUCUUAUUUCCUUUGGAUCUAUCAAAGUGUUUUUCCCCAAGUGGCACCUGGGAAAACAUAUUCUAUUCAUUUAUUUUAUAACUGUUCCCUUGACCUCUUUAUUGCUUCCCUAUUACAACCCAAGAUGCUCUUGUAAACCUGACUUAAUAUUGGCAGUCUUCAUCCCUUGCAAAUGGAAGUGAUGACAGACCCAAUACUUUGUGUAAAAAUAUUUUGCUAUUUCUAUACAAAAUAUUUUAUUAAUGGAAACCACAUGUUAUGUAUUUUACAUAUGUUAUGACUUGAAAUUUAUGUUAUGACUUGAAAUUGGGGAAUCUGAUAUGUCUCUAAUAAUAAAGGCUUCACAGUACAACUGUUGUUUGUAGAUUUACAGAUGGCUGGCAUUUUAAUUUUUUAAUUUAAAUUUUUAAUUCAAAUAUGAUUGACCUGAAAUAUUAACAAAAAUUAUCCUUGAAUUGUUGCACUGCAAAAUAAGAAAGCAAAAUCAGCUAUCUAUGAUGCAACAUUUUAUUUAUAAAUUAAGAUUGUUAGCACUCAUCUAUUGAUUUUUCUCUCUAUUAAACAUACUCCUAAUAAUAAAGGGAAGGAAGGAUCUUUGUAAAGUUAAAUUUACCGUAGCAAAGAAUAGAGGUGAUAAUUAAUAACAUGUUAAAACUCCUU
rnacentral:lncRNA from 1 species